GCCUACGGGACGCAGCAGUGGGGAAUAUUGCACAAUGGGGGAAACCCUGAUGCAGCGACGCCGCGUGAGUGAAGAAGUAUUUCGGUAUGUAAAGCUCUAUCAGCAGGGAAGAAAAUGACGGUACCUGACUAAGAAGCCCCGGCUAACUACGUGCCAGCAGCCGCGGUAAUACGUAGGGGGCAAGCGUUAUCCGGAUUUACUGGGUGUAAAGGGAGCGUAGACGGUGAUGCAAGUCAGAAGUGAAAGCCCGCGGCUCAACUGCGUGACUGCUUUUG
rnacentral:rRNA from 1 species